rnacentral:rRNA from 1 species
GACGUAGGGCGCGAGCGUUGUCCGGAUUUAUUGGGCGUAAAGAGCUCGUAGGCGGCUUGUCGCGUCGGCUGUGAAAACCCGGGGCUCAACCCCGGGCCUGCAUUCGAUACGGGCAGACUAGAGUUCGGUAGGGGAGUCUGGAAUUCCUGGUGUAGCGGUGAAAUGCGCAGAUAUCAGGAGGAACACCGGUGGCGAAGGCGGGACUCUGGGCCGAUACUGACGCUGAGGAGCGAAAGCGUGGGGAGCAAACAGG